GUUUCUGUUUUCUAUUUUUCUUUCUUUGUUUUGAUUUGAUUUACAAACCAAACCAUUUUAAAACUUUCUGUAAAUUUUUAUGUGAGCCCAGGGAGCUAGUCCAAGGUCACAUGCAAACUUACAGAAAUACUUGAACUUUAUUUCUUAUAUAACAGAAAUAAAUUCAACUCAAAUAUGUUAUUGAUUUAAGUCAAAGGCCCAAAAUAAAUAUUUCUGUGGUUCCAAAAAUAUUGGUUUGAAUUUUACCUCUUACCAAUAUUUUCACAGAGUAACAGGAACAUUUCUUUGGACUCAUUUGAUGAGAAUUAAAUGUUGAUUAUUUUUAAAAGGUUUCUGAGGCUUUGAAAAUUCCCUCACUUCAAAUUUCAGCAUUUAGACAUGAUGAUCAUGCAAGGAUAAGCAAAGGCUAAACUAGGGUUGUGACAACUCACCCCCACUAAACAAGAAUCUCGUCCCGAGAUUCAAGUCGUGAGGUAAGAAGUCAGAGGGACACAAGCUAAUACAAUCUUCACGAUCCAGAUGUCUUUCUCGAGGAUGUUGAUUCAUUGCAUCACCUUGAUCUCGACGUCUUGCUUUGAGAACUACAUCCAACAUGACAACGAGAAGAAAUGGAGAAUUUUAGAAGAAUCGAUCUUCUUGAGGUUCGAGCAGCUUAGGAUCAUCUUAAUGGGCGCAAGAUCAACUCACAGAAUGAGACGUAGAAACAUCUCUGGAGCUGAGAGGUAAAACAUGCAUUAGGAGGGACAGAAGAAACAAUUUGACGAGGGUUUCAAAGUAGCAAGGAAACAAUUACCAUGAUCCCAUAACGGGGCACCUUGGGAGAGGUGACUCGUAAAAUUAUUCCCUUAAGUGGCAAAAAGAAUUACUUUUGAUGCAUAGAUCAUCGAAACUCUCUAUACCAGCCUAAGGAAAAUCACAAUCGAUCAUUUGAAGGAAUUUGAUAGAAUGUCAUACUCAGCUUGGAAAGGAAACUAGAGUUAUAAGACAACUCGGCAAACAAAAGGCACAUUCCAAUUGAUACCGAGGAUGUAACCUAGUGUCUGAGCGUGCUCUCAAGAACUUGAGCAUUUCCAUAUUUAUGAAGGUUCUACCAAUGUCCAUGUCAAGGAUCCUGGUAACACAGAAUUCUACCAUGAUGAAUAGUGAUGGACGAUGCAGAUGCAAAGGAUUACAACAUCUUCUCAGAUUCCCCCCUAGCGAGGCUAAGGAAACAUAAUCUGGAUGAUCGACCGAGAGACAUUUAGCACUCCGCUUCUAAUGUUGUCCCUGAUGUGCUAGCGUAAUCCAUUCCUAGAUAUGGUUUGAUAUCUAGAACAUCAAGUAAAGGUCGGACUUCGGGAACACAAAAAUCCAUAAGGAACAACUAUUGGAAUAAAUUCUACGAGAUCCUUAUGGGGAGGUGGCCAACUUUCUCAAUCAAGAUACUACAAUAAUAAGUCUUCCGGUUGGGUGUGUUGGCCACAACAUCCACUUUACCGAGUUACAGAGAGACAAAUAUUAUAGUUCUUGAGAAAUGUUCCAACCAUCAUAUCUGCCUGAGAUUCAGAUCCGACUGGUGUCAGGAUAAUCCAGACUCAUCGGGUCUGGAAAGAAAAUGAAAGUUUGCAACACAAAUACGAGAUGACGUUGUGAGAUUCUCGGGGGAAUGAACUACGGUAGUAAGCUCCAAAACAUGAGCUGGUUCUGCUACAAGCAUGUGAACACGCUGUCCUAGACAAGCAUGGUCACCUGGUAGUCUUACAAAGAAACAAUACCGAGUUGGGGGGGACCAUCAACGAGGAUAUCGAAGUCCUUGCGUAAGUCUAGCUCUUAAGAAGAAACUUCUUCUCCUUGAACAAACCAAUCAGUGGCUUGGUGCGCUAGGAACACAUAUGGAGUGUAUGUAAUUAAUCUACCAAAUCAUAGAAUACUUCGCACGUAUGCAUGACUGAUUUGGGAUGAUUCCAAGGGAAACAAAACAAACCUUUCUCAAAUUCAUGGCGGCAACUUACACCUAAUGCACAUGAACUUGGAGAAAGUCACUUCUUUCAUCCAAGCAUAAGCUUCAUGAACGAAACACGAAGGCAUUGCUUACAAAGUUUUCAACACUAGGUUGAUGUUCAACAUGAAUCAUGGGGGACAAAAUGUUUCUGAUGGGCUCAACAGCAACUCAUCAGAAUUUCCAUAUCACUGGACUUCCUCCAUCAUGUGAACACGGUGAUAGCAUUGGUCAGACCAAAAGAUGUAAUGGUGUAUCCUCGAGGGAUGAACCACGAGUAAGACAACAUUACGAACAUUGUUGGUUCUGAUUUGACUUGACGAUAGCCCACACUCAAGUCAAAGUUUUGACAAGGCAAUAGAUCCAACAACUGAUCACGAGGACCAAUCGAUGGAGAUAUCAUCUUUCUUCAACACACAUACACACACUAAAAGAUAUCCCUUAACAUGAACUAAGUCAGACAAGUUUUUAUCUUCCAACUCCCCAAGUUGUUGUUUGGCUUGACCAACUAGCUCAGGGUAUCCGACAAAGAUUCUUGGAGAAUGGGUGGUUUGGAGGAAAACCAACAUGAUCACGAACUCAACAUAGCGGUCAGGUGACAACCUGGUAAUACUUCCAAGAGGAUAUUAGGAACAUCAUGAACCAUCGAUAUGUCUCUAAGCUCGAGAACAAUCUUGCUUUACAAGGCAAGACGACAUGAUCAGAAGAGCAAGGAAUUAAUCCUAACUCAAAGAUCGAAGAGUGCACCAGAAAUAAGGACAAGGUAGCACGAUCAAUCCUAAUAUAGUGAUUCGAUAAUCAACACGCUAAGAAUGAUAUUAAUGUCCAUUAACUACCAAGCAACACGGUUGCUAGGAGUAUUGAUUUCACACAUCAUCGUUCACUUGUCGGCAUUCCGGUUGCGACAACACGGAACCGAGGAAUGAGAAAUGAUGGCAAGAAGUAUCACUGCGUCAAAAAUUCAUGAGAGAUGGUGCAAUUCUCAUGACAAUCCUGACAUAAAGGGGGUAAUACUCGGAGGUAGAACAGAACAAAAGCUGGAUUGGCAUUUUGAUCUGCGAGAUAUAACUACUUUGACCAAAUCCUAGAUAUGGAUGAGGCACUGGAGUUUGUUUCUCCUAGUCAUUCUGAACUAGAAUGGCUUGACAAACCACAAGAAUGAUAGGCACCGAUGAACGAAUGCACGCAUACUCUUGACUAUCAAUUGAUAGACGAAGGUCAGAAGACGACUAAUGAGGGACAACUCAAAGGAACCUAUGUUUUUCUGAGUUGUGGAUGCAUGGAUUAGUAUGCCGAAAAAAUUCAACAUAUUUCUUCCGGAUAACCAAUGCAGAGAGGUAGAAUUGGCAGAGUCACAAUAUAGAAUGGGGACCUCAUCGAGAGCACUCUUGUUGUGAUCUUUUGGUUCAACGAGGAACUUCUGCCAAGGAUGGUUCAUGGUAUUUGGAAGAAUGAUAUACCACGGACCUCGAAGUCUAAUGCAAAGGUUACUAAUAACCUAAAGGAACGAGCAAACACUAUCAACAUGAAGUAAAUAGGGUGAAUCUCGGGUUCAAAACCCCAGGAAUAGAAUACCUACUAACUAAAUUGCAUCACGGGAUGCUUUCGAGAAUGAUGGCCAGAAUGAUCACACUGGGAACACAAUACAUGGCUAGAUUACUAGGUGAUACUCUAGACACCAAGGGUCAUAAUAAUAGCUCCAACAUAAACGUCGAGGCAGGAAAGUACCUCAACACACUAAUUAGUGUGGUUGAUCUGGCACAAAGGAACUUCAGAACGGUAGGAAGGAAUUUGCAAAUGCAUCAGACUAUCUAGAAACCUGGGAUGGCUCAGACAGAAUAACGGCUGUAAAUGCUCAAAAAGAUUUGAGACAUCCUGCAAAAUAGUGGCGUAACCACUUAACAUCAUCAUAUCAAGGGUCUGAUUCAAUUGACAACAUACUAAAAGUAGUAGAAACUGAACUGAGGCCUGGAACCAACAAUCCUAUAAGUCUCUAACAUAGGAACUCGUUAUCCUAAUAGAUAGAUGAGAAGGCCUAGUUCUUAAUCCCCGUAGAAAAGAAGAGGCUGACUCAGAUCAGAAGGGCAUAAGGUAAAUGAGUAAAAAGAGCCUUAUGUUCCCUUCCACAAUCAAUUCCCUUAUAUAACUAAAGCAUUUCUAGACUCAAUUUCGACCAGUUUGGCUUGGUAAUCCUACAGGCAGUCAGGCUCUGAUACCAACGCUGUCAGGACCCCGGUUCCAAGUCACAUCGAUCUAGCCGGUAACACCUCAUAUCACUUUGCGGCCUCUCGCACGGUAUUCCCACGGGUGUCGCCUUACCAUGGCCCGGGACCGUUUGUGCCUUUUGGCUCACGUAUAUGAUAGUGUCGCUAGCAUCCAUAUGACAAAGAACCCGGGCCGACAUGACUAGUCGUGAACCCAAAGUGGCACUAACUUACGGGGACAGGCAUACAUGAAUCAACAUCAAGCAUGUCGGUCAGCAGCAUGCGAAUACGGGCUGUAGCACUGCGCUAACAGGACUCCGGGAACCCGGGCUGUAGCAGGCUAGGCAGGACUCGGAUGUCACCACGUGACAUUUCCCUGAAGGGACAUACACAGGAACGAAGUGAAUCACAUGCCGGCCAGUCAAGUGUUCCGGAGCAGUAGUGCUGGGCUAGCAGGAUUCCGGUGAACCGGGCUGUAGCGGACUACUAUGGCUCAUGGAAGCACAAGACUACAUUUCCCCAUAAGAGAGGCUACCAAGGAUAAACAACUAGGUUGUCGGAUCCCACACAUACCAAGCAUUUCAAUCAUACACACAAUAUGCUCGAUAUGUGUAAAUACAACAGGGCAUCACAACAUAACUCUACGACUCAAGUAUUUAAUCAUUAGGCUCCGAGGAGCCAAUUAUUACAAACAUGGGUCUCAUGACCCCAACAUACAGAGCAUACAAACAACAAGCACAUGCGGAAGCUUAACUUGUCCGAGUACAGACAACUACAAAUGAAGAAGGCUGAGAAGCCUGACUAUCUACAAGACCCUGCCGAGGGAACAAGAUCGUAGCUGAGGUAUCAAGCUAAACGUCGAAGUCCACACGGAACUACUAGCAAGACUAACGUCUCUCUGCAAAACAUAAAAUAGGCAAAUGUGAGUACAAAUGUACCCAGAAAGACUUACAUCAGAACUAGCUACAUAUGCAUCAGUAUCAACAAAGGGGGUGGUGGAGUUUGACUGCAGCAAGCCAGCUUUGACUCAGUGGCUAUCCUAAACUAUGACUGCAAGUGACUCUUUUGAGGUGGCGCACACGAGUCCACAUAUUCACCAUAUCAAUACACCACUAUGGAUCCGCUCCCGUCUCCCUACGAGAAGGCCACCCAUAGCACUCACGCUUAUCUUGCGAGUUUUAGAGUAUCCAGUUUCACUUGUCUAUGAACUGUAUAGGCAACCAAGUAGUCCUUUACCAUGGACGCGGCUAUUCGAAUAGAUGAUGUUAACCCUGCAGGGGUGUACUUCUUCACACACGCUCUCACCACUUAUCGCCGUUUACACGACAUAUACUCGGCAACCUUCAAGCGGAAGCCCAGCGAGGGUGUCGGCCGCGGCCUUCCUAAACACUCAAGCCUCUAGUCCAGGUUUAUCGCCUAUUCAGGUUCCAUCCGCAGGGAGUCCGGCCGAGGUUUCCACAUACGGCCCCGAACGAUGUGUACAGGGUUCCGAGACACCAAAUAGGCGCCCGGCAUGCCCGGCCACGUGCCUACCGCAUCACAGCCCACACCUCGGGUCAGCGCUGCGCACGGCCUCCAGCAUACUACAAACACCAGAAACUACUUGCAACUCCUUGACAGAGGACAAGGGUGGAUAAGAAGCCGAGAGGGUCCAUUGGUUUCGGGCCCAAUGCAUGGUUGUAGCUGAAUCUUAAAUCACACAUACAGAUCUCAGUGCUUAAGGACGGUUCCAAUGAAACAACCCACCAUGUACUCCUACAUGGCCUCUCAUCGAUACCUUUACUAAAUCGUGUUCACACACUUAGCUCACACCCAGUAGGACAUGUUCAUCACCAUUCCAAUUCAUCCCUGAUGAAUCAGACCUGACUCAACUCUAAGCAGUAGCAGGCAUGACAAACAAGCAUGAAUGAGUAGGCACAUCAGGGCUCAAACAACUCCUACUCAUGCUAGUGGGUUUCAUCUAUUUACUGUGGCAAUGACAGGUCAUGCAGAGGAUAAGGGGUUCAACUACCGCAGCAAGUAACAGAUGGAUCGUUGUUGUCCUAAUGCAGUAAAAGAGAGCAGGACCGAGAGAGUGGGGUUGUAUCGGAAUGAACAAGGGGGUUUUGCUUGCCUGGCACUUCUGAAGAUAGUAUAGUUCUUCAUCGGUGUCAUCGAUCUCAUCGUCGGAACCACGUCUACUGAGAGGGGAUAAAUACCGGCAACAGAGAAGGAACACAAUCAAUGCAAUGCAACAAUAUGAUGCAAGAUCAUGACAUGGCAAUGUGAGCGUGUUUGAGCUAUUGCAACUAAAACCAGCUGGGUUUGAGUCAUUUUGAACCAAAGGUUCAAUCCCAAAAUCAACUUAUGAAUUUAAAUAGUGCCUUAUCAUGUUUUCCACUAAACAGCAAGGUUAAGUUGCUUAAACAAGCAUGAAACCAGUACAGAUGGAUAGAUUAGAUUUUUCUGAUCAUUUUUCAUAUAAACUUGUUUGAUUUGGAGUUACGGUUGAAUUAUUAUGAAUUUUAGAAGUUUAGGCAAUUUUCUGGAUUUUCUAAUUAUCUAGAAAUAAACUAAUUCCAGAAAAUGCAUUACUGCUCAGGCGAGGGUGGAGUGGCGAAUCCAACGGUGGCGGUGGCGGAGGCUGGGGUGGCCGUGAGCAGCGCCGGCGACGAGCUUUGUGGCGGCCGGAGCUCGGGCGAGCUCGAACUCGCCGGUGCGGUGCUCGUGGAGGCUCGGGGCUAGCUCCUACGAAGCCUACGCAGUGCGGUGAGUGCGUUGGGCAGGGUGGUGAGGCCGUUGCGUGGCCGGAGCCACGUCGGCGGCGAGCUCAGGCGACGGCGCGUGCGGGCGUGCUUGGUGCGGCGACUACGGCGAUUGGCAGAGAGAACGGAGAGGGGGAGGACGGUAAGUAGCUCACAGCGGUCGCGGCAACACAGACGGAGGGCUCGGGGAGGGACCGGAGCGAAGCAGGGCGGCGAGGGGAUCUCCGGCGGCCGAACGAGGAAGUCGGCGGCGGGGGCAUCGUUGCAGCACGUCCGGCAUCGCGUGAGUCAUCGAGGAGGCAUAGACGACGGAGGCGGAGCCCAUGGGCACGUCAGAGGGGCGCGGGGGUGGCUGUUGCUACGGCAACAACGAGCGGCGGCGACAUGCACGCUCGGUGGUCGCGUGGGAGAGUGGCAGAGGAGGGAAGAGUGCUCGAGGGAGAGAGGAGAGGUGCAGGCGGUCGAGGGGGAGUGCGUGGCGCUCGGGGCCGUCUCCAGCAGCGAGCAAGCAGGGAGGAGGUGGCCGCACGCCGGUGCGCACGCGUCGGGCACGCGCCCGUCCUCCUGGCAGAGGAGGAAGACGACAGGGGAGGAGGCGGUGGUGGGCUCGGCCGGCCAGCUACAGUGCUGGGCCGGUUGGUGGGCUGCACAGGUGAGGCCAGGUGAGAUUCUCUCUCUCUUUUAUUUGUUUCUGUUUUCUAUUUUUCUUUCUUUGUUUUGAUUUGAUUUACAAACCAAACCAUUUUAAAACUUUCUGUAAAUUUUUAUGUGAGGUCAGGGAGCUAGUCCAAGGUCACAUGCAAGCUUAUAGAAAUACUUGAACUUUAUUUCUUAUAUAACAGAAAUAAAUUCAACUCAAAUAUGUUAUUGAUUUAAGUCAAAGGCCCAAAAUAAAUAUUUAUGUGGUUCCAAAAAUAUUGGUUUGAAUUUUACCUCUUACCAAUAUUUUCACAGAGUAACAGGAACAUUUCUUUGGAUUCAUUUGAUGAGAAUUAAAUGUUGAUUAUUUUUAAAAGGAUUCUGAGGCUUUGAAAAUUCCCCCAAUUCAAAUUUCACAAUUUAGACUUGAUGAUCAUGCAAGGACAAGCAAAGGCUAAACUAGGGUUGUGACAAUUUUGCCAUUAAUUGUUGCAUCAUGGCCUCAUCAUAUGUUUGCAUCAUGUUCAUAUCAAGGUUGCGCUGUGCUUAUGUCAACUUGCAUUUCCAUGUUAUUCAUGCAUGUUAGGUUGUUGCAUUGUCGGGGGGUAGGUGCGACAUAUGCCAACGGGUG
rnacentral:lncRNA from 1 species